AUUAUUAAAAUAUAAUUAUAUAUCUCUAGAUUAUUAGUAAAUAUAUUUAUGAAAUUAAAAUAAUUUGGCGGUAUUUUAGUCUAUUCAGAGGAAUCUGUUCUGUAAUCGAUAGUCCACGUUGAAUCUGACUUAUUUUAUUUAAUUUGUAUAUCGUUGUCAUUAGAAUAUUUUGUAAGAAAAAUAAUUUUCUUUAAUUAAUAUGAGAUUAUAUGUCAAAUCAAGGUGCAGUUAAUAUUUAAGUAGAAAUGGAUUACAAUAAGAUAAAAUUAUAUGGAUAAAUAAUUGAAAUAUUAUAUUAAAGGUGGAUUUGAUAGUAAAAUUGUAAAGAUUAUUAAUUUGAUUAUAGCUCUAAAAUAUGCAC
rnacentral:rRNA from 1 species